rnacentral:rRNA from 1 species
UACGUAGGUGGCAAGCGUUGUCCGGAAUUAUUGGGCGUAAAGCGCGCGCAGGCGGUCCUUUAAGUCUGAUGUGAAAGCCCACGGCUCAACCGUGGAGGGUCAUUGGAAAACUGGGGGGACUUAGUACAGAAGAGAAGAGUGGAAUUCCACGUGUAGCGGUGAAAUGCGUAGAGAUGUGGAGGAACUCGAUGGCGAAGGCAGCCCCCCUGGGAUAACAC